rnacentral:rRNA from 1 species
CAAUAGCGUAUAUUUAAGUUGCUGCAGUUAAAAAGCUCGUAGUUGGAUUUCGGGUGGGAAUGGCCGGUCCGCCGUUUCGGUGUGCACUUGCUACGCCCACCUUGCUGCCGGGGACGUGCUCUUGAGUUCACGCUCGGGACACGGAGUCGGCGAGGUUACUUUGAGUAAAUUAGAGUGUUCAAAGCAGGCCUACGCUCUGAAUACAUUAGCAUGGAAUAACACGAUAGGACUCUGGCCUAUCUUGUUGGUCUGUAGGACCGGAGUAAUGAUUAAGAGGGACAGUCGGGGGCAUUCGUAUUUCAUUGUCAGAGGUGAAAUUCUCGGAUUUAUGAAAGACGAACUACUGCGAAAGCAUUUGCCAAGGAUGUUUUCAUUGA